rnacentral:rRNA from 1 species
GAUGAACGCUGGCGGCGUGCCUAAUACAUGCAAGUCGAGCGAACGGACGAGAAGCUUGCUUUUCUGAUGUUAGCGGCGGACGGGUGAGUAACACGUGGAUAACCUACCUAUAAGACUGGGAUAACUUCGGGAAACCGGAGCUAAUACCGGAUAAUAUUUUGAACCGCAUGGUUCAAAAGUGAAAGACGGUCUUGCUGUCACUUAUAGAUGGAUCCGCGCUGCAUUAGCUAGUUGGUAAGGUAACGGCUUACCAAGGCAACGAUGCAUAGCCGACCUGAGAGGGUGAUCGGCCACACUGGAACUGAGACAAGGUCCAGACUCCUACGGGAGGCAGCAGUAGGGAAUCUUCCGCAAUGGGCGAAAGCCUGACGGAGCAACGCCGCGUGAGUGAUGAAGGUCUUCGGAUCGGAAAACUCUGUUAUUAGGGAAGAACAUAUGUGUAAGUAACUGUGCACAUCUUGACGGUACCUAAUCAGAAAGCCACGGCUAACUACGUG